AGAGUUUGAUCCUGGCUCAGGACGAACGCUGGCGGCGUGCCUAAUACAUGCAAGUUGAACGCUUGAUUUUCACCGAAGCUUGCUCCACCGAAAAUCAAGAGUAGCGAACGGGUGAGUAACGCGUGGGUAACCUACCUUUCAGCGGGGGAUAACUAUUGGACAACGAUAGCUAAUACCGCAUAACAAUGUUGGAUGCAUAUUCGACAUUUGAAAGUACCAAUUGGUACACUGAGAGAUGGACCCGCGUUGUAUUAGCUAGUUGGUAGUGUAAUGGACUACCAAGGCGAUGAUACAUAGCCGACCUGAGAGGGUGAUCGGCCACAUUGGGACUGAGACACGGCCCAAACUCCUACGGGAGGCAGCAGUAGGGAAUCUUCGGCAAUGGACGAAAGUCUGACCGAGCAACGCCGCGUGAGUGAAGAAGGUUUUCGGAUCGUAAAACUCUGUUGUUAGAGAAGAACGUUGCAUAGAGUGGAAAAUUAUGCAAGUGACGGUAUCUAACCAGAAAGGGACGGCUAACUACGUGCCAGCAGCCGCGGUAAUACGUAGGUCCCGAGCGUUGUCCGGAUUUAUUGGGCGUAAAGCGAGCGCAGGUGGUUUAAUAAGUCUGAUGUAAAAGGCAGUGGCUCAACCAUUGUGUGCAUUGGAAACUGUUAGACUUGAGUGCAGUAGAGGAGAGUGGAAUUCCAUGUGUAGCGGUGAAAUGCGUAGAUAUAUGGAGGAACACCGGUGGCGAAAGCGGCUCUCUGGACUGUCACUGACACUGAGGCUCGAAAGCGUGGGUAGCAAACAGGAUUAGAUACCCUGGUAGUCCACGCCGUAAACGAUGAGUGCUAGUUGUUUGGGGCUAUCCAGCCCUAAGUGACGCAGCA
rnacentral:rRNA from 1 species